rnacentral:rRNA from 1 species
UACGUAGGGUGCAAGCGUUAAUCGGAAUUACUGGGCGUAAAGCGUGCGCAGGCGGUUUUUGUAAGCCAGAUGUGAAAGCCCUCGGCUCAACCAAGGAAGUGCUUUCGUAAACUAGCUGAGCUUGAGUACUUAAGAGGAUCGCGGAAUUCCCGGUGUAGAGGUGAAAUUCGUAGAUAUCGGGAGGAACACCAGUGGCGAAGGCGGCGAUCUGGGAAGAUACUGACGCUCAUGCACGAAAGCGUGGGUAGCAAACAGGAUUAGAAACCCUGGUAGU